rnacentral:rRNA from 1 species
GUCGAACGGAGCUGCUUUGAUGAAGUUUUCGGAUGGAUUUAAAACAGCUUAGUGGCGGACGGGUGAGUAACGCGUGGGUAACCUGCCUCACACUGGGGGAUAACAGUUAGAAAUAGCUGCUAAUACCGCAUAAGCGCACGGUUCCGCAUGGAACAGUGUGAAAAACUCCAGUGGUGUGAGAUGGACCCGCGUCUGAUUAGCCAGUUGGCGGGGUAACGGCCCACCAAAGCGACGAUCAGUAGCCGGCCUGAGAGGGUGAACGGCCACAUUGGGACUGAGACACGGCCCAAACUCCUACGGGAGGCAGCAGUGGGGAAUAUUGCACAAUGGGGGAAACCCUGAUGCAGCGACGCCGCGUGAGUGAAGAAGUAUUUCGGUAUGUAAAGCUCUAUCAGCAGGGAAGAAAGUGACGGUACCUGAAUAAGAAGCCCCGGCUAACUACGUGCCAGCAGCCGCGGUAAUACGUAGGGGGCAAGCGUUAUCCGGAUUUACUGGGUGUAAAGGGAGCGUAGACGGCAAGGCAAGUCUGAAGUGAAAGCCCGGUGCUUAACGCCGGGACUGCUUUGGAAACUGUUUAGCUGGAGUGCCGGAGAGGUAAGCGGAAUUCCUAGUGUAGCGGUGAAAUGCGUAGAUAUUAGGAAGA